rnacentral:rRNA from 1 species
GACGAACGCUGGCGGCGCGCCUAACACAUGCAAGUCGAACGAGCGAGAGAGAGCUUGCUUUCUCGAGCGAGUGGCGAACGGGUGAGUAACGCGUGAGGAACCUGCCUCAAAGAGGGGGACAACAGUUGGAAACGACUGCUAAUACCGCAUAAGCCCACGGCACGGCAUCGAGCAGGGGGAAAAGGAGCAAUCCGCUUUGAGAUGGCCUCGCGUCCGAUUAGCUAGUUGGUGGGGUAACGGCCCACCAAGGCGACGAUCGGUAGCCGGACUGAGAGGUUGAACGGCCACAUUGGGACUGAGACACGGCCCAGACUCCUACGGGAGGCAGCAGUGGGGAAUAUUGCACAAUGGGGGAAACCCUGAUGCAGCGACGCCGCGUGGAGGAAGAAGGUCUUCGGAUUGUAAACUCCUGUUGUUGGGGAAGAUAAUGACGGUACCCAACAAGGAAGUGACGGCUAACUACGUG